GAACGUCCGGGAGGAGGUGUUGGUGCAGAUCGCCCAGAACGAGACGGCUGUGGAAGUCCAGGUGGCAGGCCAGCCCAAGCAGACAUUCGCUAAAGAUAUCAACGACUACAUCGGGCUCAGUGACUGCCCACUACAGAUUGGGGCCGGCAAGGGCCUUGAGAACUAUGUUGGCGAGUUCGACGAGUUUGUAUAUUUCCCGUGUGUCAAUCCCGGGUUCUUCAGCAUCUCCAGCCUGUUCUGAUGUCAGGUGCCACAUAACCCAAACACGACCUAAGCAUACAGGGGCGUGUACUGCACGCCGGUCGUGCCCUUCGUAUUGAACUGUUGAUAUAUGUCUUGCCAUGAUAAUACAAAAUAUCCCAGUGUACGAUUCGCAACGAAGAGUCCUUUUCCACCAUCAAAUUAUUGUUUUUACUUUUCAUAACUCAAAAAGGAGAACUGAUGUUAGCAUCAUU